AAAUUGAAGAGUUUGAUCAUGGCUCAGAUUGAACGCUGGCGGCAGGCCUAACACAUGCAAGUCGAACGGUAACAGGAAGCAGCUUGCUGCUUUGCUGACAAGUGGCGGACGGGUGAGUAAUGUCUGGGAAACUGCCUGAUGGAGGGGGAUAACUACUGGAAACGGUAGCUAAUACCGCAUAACGUCGCAAGACCAAAGAGGGGGACCUUCGGGC
rnacentral:rRNA from 1 species